CAAGAAAUGAAUACACGUUGACAGAACGUUCAAACCUAUAUGAACUUUGAAAAACCUAUUUAUAGAAAAACCUAUGUACGGGACUUUGUCUUUGAGGCAUAAAUAUCUGUUUAUAUCGAUUUAACAUUCUCACGAAAAGAUUGUGGAGUGAUAACGUCUGCAGUAUAGAAGUAACAAAAAUCAAAUUAUGUGUUCCAGAAAUCAGAUGAAAGCGGACUGAAAAGUGAAGUGACUUGGAUUUAAACAAAACUAAGAGUAUGUUAUUAUGUUAUGCACGUUGCUAUAUCUGUUGCAUGCAUCUGUCGUCCUUAAUUA